rnacentral:rRNA from 1 species
GAUAAACGCUGGCGGCGUGCCUAACACAUGCAAGUCGAACGCCCUUACGCAAGUAAGGGAGUGGCGGACGGGUGAGGAACACGUGGGUGAUCUGCCUUGAGGUGAGGAAUACCGGCGAGAAAUCGCCGACAAUACCGCAUACGUUCGCAAGAACAAAGUCGCAAGACGCCUUGAGAUGAGCCUGCGUCCGAUUAGCUAGUUGGUGGGGUAAAAGCCUACCAAGGCAGCGAUCGGUAGCUGGUCUGAGAGGACGAUCAGCCACACUGGGAUUGAGAACGGCCCAGACUCCGUACGGGGGCG